rnacentral:rRNA from 1 species
AUUGAACGCUGGCGGCAUGCUUUACACAUGCAAGUCGAACGGUAACAGGUUAAGCUGACGAGUGGCGAACGGGUGAGUAAUGCAUCGGAACGUGCCCGGUCGUGGGGGAUAACGCAGCGAAAGCUGCGCUAAUACCGCAUACGAUCUAAGGAUGAAAGCGGGGGACCGUAAGGCCUCGCGCGAUCGGAGCGGCCGAUGUCAGAUUAGGUAGUUGGUGGGGUAAAGGCUCACAAAGCCAACGAUCUGUAGCUGGUCUGAGAGGACGACCAGCCACACGGGGCCGGGGACACGGCCCAGACUCCUACGGGAGGCAGCAGUGGGGAAUUUUGGACAAUGGGCGAAAGCCUGAUCCAGCAAUGCCGCGUGCAGGAAGAAGGCCUUCGGGUUGUAAACUGCUUUUGUACGGAGCGAAAAGGUCUCCUCUAAUACAGGGGGCUCAUGACGGUACCGUAAGAAUAAGCACCGGCUAACUACGUGCCAGCAGCCGCAGUAA